rnacentral:rRNA from 1 species
UACGUAGGGGGCGAGCGUUGUCCGGACUUAUUGGGCGUAAAGAGCGUGUAGGCGGCCAGGUAGGUCUGCUGUGAAAACUCGAGGCUCAACCUCGAGACGUCGGCGGAAACCAUCUGGCUAGAGUCCGGAAGAGGAGAGUGGAAUUCCUGGUGUAGCGGUGAAAUGCGCAGAUAUCAGGAAGAACACCCGUGGCGAAGGCGGCUCUCUGGGACGGUACUGACGCUGAGACGCGAAAGCGUGGGGAGCGAACAGG